CAUAGGAUUAAGCUGAAUCCAGCCCAGGAGCGGGGGAACCAGGUUUUUGGGGCGAACGUCAGAUUGUGCCAUAUUCAAGGGUACAAGUAAUGAAGCGGGUGGUCUUCUCUACCCGAGCCCGGCAGCUAACCUCGUAAGCGAACAGAGAGAGGAGUU
rnacentral:sRNA from 2 species